rnacentral:ncRNA from 1 species
UAAAGUUUGAUUCUUGCUUGAACUUUUAUUUUAUAAUUAGUGUACAUGCAUAUUUUAAUGGAAAUGUAAUAAAAAUAAAGAUAAUUUAUGACAUAAUAGAUAUAGUUUUAUUACUCGCAGUGCGGAAGAUUAAAUAUUAGAUUUAGGUCGGAUUUAGUAAAUUAUAGAAAGCUUGAUUAAAUUUUGUGCCAGCAAUCGCGGUUAGACUUAGAAGUUUAGUAAAAGUAUUUUAGUUUGGGUUAUUCUUAUGUUAAUGUUGAAUUAAGGUUUAUAGUAAUAAAAGGUGAAAUUAGUUUAUUAAAAGGUAAACGAAAGUUAAAUUAUAAAGGGGAAAAGGCUCAAAAAUUAAGGUAUAGACCAGGAUUAGAUACCCUGUUAUACUUAAAGGGGAAAAGCGUAACUUGAAUAUUAAUAGCUAUGAUCUUUAAAUUCAAAGAAUUUGGCGGUAUUUUAGUCUUGUUAGAGGAACCUGUUCUGUAAAUGAUACAACACGAAGAAUCUUACUUACUUUUGUUUUACAGUUUGUAUACCGUCAUUAUUAGAUAACCUUUAUUGGGUUAAGUUAUUGAAAUUUAAGAAGUUAAAGUAUAUUAGAUCAAGGUGCAGCUUAUAGGUGAGAAGAAAUGGGUUACAAUAAAAUUUAUUUAUACGUAUCAGUGGUUGAAUAAUUUCUGUGAAGGAGGAUUUAAUUGUAACAUGUAAUUUAGUAAGUUGGUGUGGUAUGAGAACUAAAAUAUGUACAUAUCGCCCGUCGCUUCCAUUUAAGGUGGAAUAAGUCGUAACAUAGUAGGUGUACUGGAAGGUGCACCUAGAAUUAAA